AUUGAACGCUGGCGGCAGGCCUAACACAUGCAAGUCGAGCGGAUGAAGGGAGCUUGCUCCUGGAUUCAGCGGCGGACGGGUGAGUAAUGCCUAGGAAUCUGCCUGGUAGUGGGGGAUAACGUCCGGAAACGGGCGCUAAUACCGCAUCCGUCCUGAGGGAGAAAGUGGGGGAUCUUCGGACCUCACGCUAUCAGAUGAGCCUAGGUCGGAUUAGCUAGUUGGUGGGGUAAAGGCCUACCAAGGCGACGAUCCGUAACUGGUCUGAGAGGAUGAUCAGUCACACUGGAACUGAGACACGGUCCAGACUCCUACGGGAGGCAGCAGUGGGGAAUAUUGGACAAUGGGCGAAAGCCUGAUCCAGCCAUGCCGCGUGUGUGAAGAAGGUCUUCGGAUUGUAAAGCACUUUUAGUUGGGAGGAAGGGCAGUAAGUUAAUACCUUGCUGUUUUGACGUUACCAACAGAAUAAGCACCGGCUAACUUCGUG
rnacentral:rRNA from 1 species